rnacentral:misc_RNA from 1 species
AAGUCGUAACAAGGUAACCGUAGGUGAACCUGCGGUUGGAUCAUUAUAGAAAUGAUUUUAUUAUUGAGGGAUCAACCUUUAAAAAGUUGGUCACUCUUUACCCCAAAACCAUGUGAAUUUGUAUUUUAAAGGAACAAUGUAAAAGUUGUUUCCUUUCAUUUUAAAAACAUUUUAAACCUUUUUUUUUAUAUUUAAAAAACAUAAAGAAAAAACAACUUUUGACAAUGGAUCUCUUGGCUCUC